rnacentral:rRNA from 1 species
CCUACGGGAGGCAGCAGUGAGGAAUAUUGGUCAAUGGACGCAAGUCUGAACCAGCCAUGCCGCGUGCAGGAAGACGGCGCUAUGAGUUGUAAACUGCUUUUGUACGAGGGUAAACGCAGAUACGCGUAUCUGUCUGAAAGUAUCGUACGAAUAAGGAUCGGCUAACUCCGUGCCAGCAGCCGCGGUAAUACGGAGGAUUCAAGCGUUAUCCGGAUUUAUGGGGUUAAAGGGGGCGGAGGCGGUCGGAUAAGUUAGGGGGGAAAUCCCGCGGCUCAACUUCGGAAUUGCCUCUGAUACUGUUCGGCUAGAGUGUAGUUGCGGUAGGCGGAAUGUAUGGUGUAGCGGUGAAAUGCUUAGAGAUCAUACAGAACCCCGAUUGCGAAGGCAGCUUACCAAGCUACUUCUGACGUUGAGGCACGAAAGCGUGGGUAGCAAACAGGAUUAGAUACCCGAGUAGUC